UUUUUUUUUGUCUUCGUUGAAUGUUCAACCUAGGGUUUUGAUUUUGUCUGUUCCAGUUAUUGCUUCGAUCUCCUGGAUCUCAGUUCCGAAUUUACCUAGGGUUUGAUCGUUUGAUUGUUGGAUUGUUUGGUUGAUCAUGGAGGCGAUCGACGAGCUCGUGCAAUUGUCAGGGUCUAUGCGCCAGGUCACGGCGCUGCUGGCAGAUGAAGAUGCGGACAAGAAUUUGAGUUCCAGUUCUUCUCGCAGGGGUUCGACUUUUCUUAACGUUGUUGCUCUUGGAAAUGUCGGACAUCCUGUUUAAUAGGACAUCCUGUUUAAUGAACCCCAUCUACAAACGAUGGCCAAUGAUGAGCAUCUUCGCAAGGCCUUCUCCUACUUUGAUAGGAAUGGUAAUGGCUAUAUUGAGCGAGAUGAGCUUCGGGAUGCCUUGAUGGAAGAUGGAGCAGAUGAUUGUACAGAUGUAGCAAAUGACAUCUUCCAAGAAGUGGACACGGACAAAGUAAAGAUCCAGUAGUUUGCCAUCAACUCGAUUUUCAUCCAACAGAUUAUAAAUGACUUUUUUUUUGUCUUACAAUGCAGAAUGGGUGAAUUAGUUAUGAUGAAUUUGUGGCUAUGAUGAAAACUGGAACAGAUUGGAGAAAGGCUUCUAGGCAUUAUUCAAGAGGGAGAUUCAACAGUCUAAGCAUUAAGCUGAUAAAGGAUGGUUCUCUAAACUUGGGGAAUGAGUAACAUAUACACAAGGUUGGUCUUUUGUUCAUCCACACAAGAAAAGUACUGGAUCAUUCCCAAUUUAUCUUGGACUUGCUUUCUUUUGUGAUAAUUUGUUGGGGGGCUAUUGGUUGAAUGGGGUCCCUUCUGAUUACUGGCUUACAAGGGAUCAUGGAGGGGUAUUCAAGAAAUAUAGCAAAAAAGAAGAAGAUGAUGAAGAAUUAAUGACCACCUCUUACGAAGAUAGUAUUGUACUUUUCAAUUUAAGUUUGUAUAUUAUCUUAAUUGAAUAUUUGUAAUUAGUUUUUUUUUUUUUUUUGUAUAUAGAAAAUAGAGAGUAAGUAGAAAAAGAUUUAUUCCAUUGUGUUUUUAAUAUUCAAAUGUAUCUAUAAUAAUUUUUCCCUUGAGUAA